GCCCCGCCCCGCCCCGCCCCCGGGCGCCUGCGCGGCGCGGUGCGAUGGCGCCGCACUACUGCGCCGUGUGCCGCCGCACCUCCUUCGCCGGCCGGCGGCACCUGUACAGCGCGACGCACCGGCAGCGCCUGCGGGAGGCGCUGGGCCGCCUGCAGGACAAGGUGGAGGCGGCGCGGGCGGCCAUCGGCGGCGCGGCGGUGCGGCGCUGCGAGGCGGCGGAGCCCGAGCGGCGCGUGUGGUGCCUGUGCUGCGGGCGCGACGUGCCGCGCGACGGGCGGCGGGGCGGGCUGGCGGUGCCGCACGCCGCGCUGCUCCAGCACCUGGCCGGGCCCGAGCACCGCCGCGAGACGGCGCGCUUCUGGCGGGAGAACCGGGCCGAGGCGGCGCUGCGGCCGCGCUUCCUGGUGUCGGCCGAGGACUACGGGCGGUUCACCGAGUCGCUGGCGCGGGCCCUGGACGCCUACGAGGAGCGGGAGGACGAGAGCAUCCGCCAGAUGGCGGCCCGCAUCCGGGACGCGGAGCGCCGGCGGCAGGAGACGGUGCGAGCCGCCCUCGAGCCUCAGGCAGAGCCACAGCUGUGCGCCGGACCUUCUGUCUACGAUUGCACCGUAGGACGUGACAGGGACAUCUCUGGUGAUGCAGAGCAGCCUGGCCCCAGUGGGAUGCAGGAAGCUCCUGACUUGAAUUGGAUGGAACCAGGCCACCCUUUGACUUUUAUUGGCCACCAGGAAACAGGAGAGAAAGGAAAUAUUCACACAGGAGCAAGACCUCCCUGGCUAAUAAAGGAAGAUGAGGAGGUUGGAAGUCAACAACAAAUUGGACCAUCAUAUGAGGAAUUUCUCAAAGAGAAGGAGAAGCAGAAGCUGAAAAAGCUCCCAGCAGAUCGUGUCGGUGCCAACUUUGACCAUACCUCUCAGACAGGCGACAGCUGGCUCCCUUCCUUUGGGCGGGUUUGGAACCAGGGCAGGAGGUGGCAGUCCAGGUGAGCGUCGGGAUGGCAGACGGAUGCUGAACUGAGGGUGUGCAGCGUCCUUCUAUACACACUGCUAAAGGAGCGAGUUCUGCGAUAGCAGCAACGGCAUCAAUUUAGAGCUGAAUCGGGGGAAAAGAAGAAAAAAAGGUGAUCAGAAAAAGAGCACCAAAGAGACCAAGCUCCGACCCUUGUGAAAAGGUGGACCGUAGGUAGCUGCAGCUGUGUCAUUGCUGCUGCUGCCAGGUUUGGCCCUAUGUAUCCACCUAGUCGCGUUCAUUUCCCUGGAGGGCAGGCUGGCCAAAGGAUAACCCUAUGGGCCGAGCAGUUUUGCUGAAGGCUACUCUGCAAAGGGAUGUUGCAGUAGAUUUGUUCCCCCUGUAACGGGCAUGUAAUAUGCAUCCAGGUACUGCUGUUUCAAGUCAUAAAUUACACAAAGGCAAAACCUUCCAGCAAGGGAGGUCUCCUAUUUGCUUUUCUGUCUUUAUCAGGAAGUCUGGCUUAUACACCAUGUGGUGCCAGUGUCCUACAUUGCUGUACAAUAUGGCAUCUCUUUAAAUAAACUUGUGAGAAAUAAACUUUUUUUAAAAAA